rfam:Sorex araneus cont1.535337, whole genome shotgun sequence.
CGUUGACUGAUUGUACUCACCAGCUGGCUAAUAUCAUAAUUAACAAAGUUGCUACUAUGUCUGCAAAGUUUAAUCGAAUAAUUUGCCAGUGAUAUGAUGACAUUGUCACAAAGAUCACAAGGGACACAGAGUUGACUUUUGCUCAAGGUGGAACGGCAAAGCUCUAUAGACAAGAUGAGAAACCGUGAACUUACUCAGCCAAA